rnacentral:piRNA from 1 species
UAAAACAUCGAAGACUUUUUAGGAUGCAGA